CCUACGGGGGGCAGCAGUAGGGAAUAUUGCUCAAUGGGGGAAACCCUGAAGCAGCAACGCCGCGUGGAGGAUGAAGGUUUUCGGAUUGUAAACUCCUUUUGUUAGAGAAGAUAAUGACGGUAUCUAACGAAUAAGCACCGGCUAACUCCGUGCCAGCAGCCGCGGUAAUACAGAGGGUGCAAGCGUUACUCGGAAUCACUGGGCGUAAAGCGCGCGUAGGCGGGAUAGCAAGUCAGAUGUGAAAUCCUAUGGCUUAACAAUAGAACUGCAUUUGAAACUGGUAUUCUAGAGUAUGGGAGAGGUAGGUGGAAUGCUUGGUGUAGGGGUAAAAUCCGUAGAGAUCAAGAGGAAUACUCAUUGCGAAGGCGACCUGCUAGAACAUAACUGACGCUGAUGCGCGAAAGCGUGGGGAGCAAACAGGAUUAGAUACCCCUGUAGUC
rnacentral:rRNA from 1 species